rnacentral:rRNA from 1 species
UGGGGAAUAUUGCGCAAUGGGCGAAAGCCUGACGCAGCAACGCCGCGUGAGUGAUGAAGGCCUUCGGGUCGUAAAGCUCUGUCGGAGGGAACGAAUGCUCUUGAGGUUAAUAGCCUCGGGAGGUGACGGUACCCUCAAAGGAAGCACCGGCUAACUCUGUGCCAGCAGCCGCGGUAAUACAGAGGGUGCAAGCGUUGUUCGGAAUCAUUGGGCGUAAAGGGCGUGUAGGCGGUUUGUUAAGUCAUGUGUGAAAUCCCUCGGCUCAACCGGGGAACGACGCAUGAAACUAGCAAGCUAGAGUACCAAAGAGGGUGGUGGAAUUCCCGGUGUAGCAGUGAAAUGCGUAGAGAUGUGGAGGAACACCGAUGGCGAAGGCAGCCCCCUGGGUUAACACUGACGCUCAUGCACGAAAGCGUGGGGAGCAAACAGGAUUAGAUACCCAAGUAGUCCCUGAGCGGGCUGGCAAGGCGCAU